rnacentral:rRNA from 1 species
CAGACCUCUAAUCGGAAAAGACUACCCGCUGAGUUUAAGCAUAUCACUAAGCGGAGGAGAAGAAACUAAUCAGGAUUUCCCUAGUAACGGCGAGCGAACCGGAAAGAGCCCAGCUUGAAAAUCGUGGUGCCUCGUACCUCGAAUUGUAGUCUGGAGAAGGUCCCUCUGCGACGCGCCGGACCCAAGUUCCCUGGAAAGGGACGUCAGAGAGGGUGACAACCCCGUCGAGUCCGAAAUGCGUCGCUCCACGAGGACCUGUCUGCGAGUCGGGCUGUUUGGGAAUGCAGCCCUAAGCGGGUGGUAAAUUCCAUCCAAGGCUAAAUAUUGGCAAGAGACCGAUAGCGAACAAGUACCGCGAGG